rnacentral:tRNA from 1 species
UUUAAUUGAAACCAAAAUAAAGAGGUAUAUCAUUGUUAAUGAUAAAAUUGAGUAAACUCCGAUUAAA